UUUAUAACCAAUCAUUUUAUCAAGCAUUUGAUAAAAAUUUUCCAUUAACUUUCUCUGCUGGAAACACGAUGAAUAGAGUGGUUGUGAUUGUGUCUUCAGUUUUGGUGUUCGGGAAUCUGGUUCGACCUCUUAACAGUGUUGGUUCUGCCAUUACUUUUUUUGGGACUUUUCUGUUCACAAGCUACAGUUGCAAUGAAAGCAAACAAAAUUGAAGAGUUGGGGUUGGAAUAUGCAUCCGUGACGAACUUGGUCAAUUUGUGCUUUCAAAGACAGAAUGGAUUUCUCUUCUUUGGGGAAUGGAUGUUGGUGAACCUCUUGUUGAGUAUAUGUCCCUCAAUUUCCCUAUAUUGAUAGCCUGAUUCAAUUUCAAUAUCCUCAAUUUCCAUAAAUUGAUGGUCUGAUUUAAUUUCAAUAUGAAUGUUUAUUCAUAACUUGAAAUGCAAGUGUGACCCUUGACACAAUGACUAUUCAAUGUUUUUUUGUUUCUUCAUAAUAUGAUGGCGUUGUGAUAUAUAUGUAAUCAGGAUGAUGAAAUUAGAAUGAUGCCUAUACAAUGGUUUAUUCAUGUAAACCACAUUUUUUAUUCAUAUGUAAUCAGGAUGGUAUGCAUGGAAGAUUUUAUGGUCUAAAUGCAAUUUGAAUAUGAAUUUUUAAUCA